AAUUUAAACUAUUUCCAAAAUGGCAUGAAUAUAUUUUUUUUCCUUGAUGAGUUUUUCGGAUUUCUUGUCACUUAUGGAAAUGCCACUUUUGGUCCCCUUGCCAUUAGUUCUCGUUCAUUUGUGUUUCAUCACUACAUUUUAGUUGUUCUGGUAAGUUGUGGCUGAAAUCCUUGAAUAAAUUUUUUAUUUCCUAUGUUUUACGUUUGCUGCUGGUUUUCAUUUUGUUUAAAGAAUUUUUGAAAUAUUAUGUUGUUAAUAAAUAUUAUGCAAUUUGUACAUAUUAAUCAGUAAAUGCUGCUUGAAUCUAAAUAUUGAAACUAGCCAUAUGCCAGUGACACAUUUAUCUAAGUUUGCUUGAUCUGAAAGACGUGAUCCUCAAUCAACUUGGGGAGAGUACUUUUGAUGAUUUUAGUAUUCACUCAACACUUCCAAUUUCCAUUGUUGCGAUGCAGGUAUAUCAGGAGAAGGGUAU
rnacentral:misc_RNA from 1 species